GCCUGGCUGGCUCGGUUGGUAGAGCAUCUGACUCUUGAUCUCAAGGUUGUGAGUUCAAGCCCAAUGUUGGGCA
rnacentral:tRNA from 1 species